rnacentral:rRNA from 1 species
GCUAAGAAUAUUCCGCAAUGGACGAAAGUCUGACGGAGCGACGCCGCGUGGAUGAUGAAGGCCGGAAGGUUGUAAAAUCCUUUUAUGACUGAGGAAUAAGGUGGAUGAGAGAAACGUCCGCUGGUGACUGUAGGUCAUGAAUAAGCAACGGCUAAUUACGUGCCAGCAGCCGCGGUAACACGUAAGUUGCGAGCGUUGUUCGGAAUUAUUGGGCGUAAAGGGCAUGUAGGCGGUUCUGCAAGUCUGGUGUGAAAUGCCGGGGCUCAACCCCGGAACUGCGUUGGAAACUGCAGAACUUGAGUCGCUGAGGGGCAGCCAGAAUUCCAGGUGUAGGGGUGAAAUCUGUAGAUAUCUGGAAGAAUACCAAUGGCGAAGGCAGGCUGCCAGCAGAUGACUGACGCUGAGGUGCGAAGGUGCGGGGAGCAAACAGG